UACGUAGGUGGCAAGCGUUGUCCGGAAUUACUGGGCGUAAAGAGCGCGCAGGCGGCUGGUCAAGUCCGAUGUGAAAGCUCCCGGCUUAACUGGGAAAUUGCAUCGGAAACUGAUCGGCUUGAAGGUGGGAGAGGGUAGUGGAAUUCCCGGUGUAGUGGCGAAAUGCGCAGAUAUCAGGAAGAACACCCGUGGCUAAGGCGGCUCUCUAGUACGUGACUGACGCUGAGACGCGAAAGCGUGGGGAGCGAACAGG
rnacentral:rRNA from 1 species